CAUGCACGCUUUCUCCACCAAUUCUGUUAGCUUUGCUCUAUUAGCCAACAGUUUUACCAUGCGAAAGGGGGGGAUCUUUAACAUGUCUCCAACCGAAUCAGAGUUUCCCAAAUGAGAAGAGAGCAAGGAUACAACACAGACCUGGACAUAAAUUUCAGAGCUCAGAACAACAUGCACCAUCCCCCCACUCUAAUCCUCAGAGCAACCCUGUGAAAGUUGUGAGAACUGGCCUAAGGUCUUUGAUGGUACCUUUGACAUCCUAAGAACACUUUCCUGAGAAGAAGCCACAGAAAAGCCUCACCUGCUGAACUCCUGCCUGUGCUAGGCUGCCAUGACCAGGCUACUUAAAAGUGGCUGCAGGCCAUAGAGAGAGAGAGACACCCAGAGAGUGGCAAGAGUCUGCCAUGUAAGAGACAUCACUGCCUGGGUGGUUUUUUCACACUUACCUGAGUUUGAGGGUAUAGUUGGCUUUGGAGGCAUUCUCAGGCUUCCACCGGCAGGUGACAGUCCGGGCUCUGCAGGAUUCUUUAUAGCAAAGCAAAGCUUGGGAUUCACCAGCAGCCAGUCCUGCAAAGCACAGACAAGAGACGUUGCUGCUGGAAACUGCAGGGGUGGGAAAGCAACGGGCAUAAUCCUUUGACUGGGUGGGGAAUUUACCAAACUCAACGAAACCUCAGAGGUAGCCAAGUGAACAGGGCGUCAUUUCUAGACCUCCAUUCACGUUCCAUAUUCUUCUACCUCAGACAGAAAUAAGAACUUGUCUCUGCUGCCAGAAGCAGGAGCAGGUGGAAAUCUAUACUUGCUGGUCUCUGGAAGUGCUUUUAAAAUAUGUUAAGUGAAAUUUUGCAUGCAUUUCUGUGGUCGUGCCACAGAGUGCGGGCCGAGUUCUGAA